rnacentral:rRNA from 1 species
UACGGAGGGUGCGAGCGUUGUCCGGAAUCACUGGGCGUAAAGGGUGCGUAGGCGGCUUUGUAAGUCAGUGGUGAAAUAUGGCAGCUCAACUGUCAGGGUGCCAUUGAUACUGCGGAGCUUGAGUACAGAUGAGGUAGGCGGAAUUGACGGUGUAGCGGUGAAAUGCUUAGAUAUCGUCAAGAACACCGAUAGCGAAGGCAGCUUACUAGGCUGUAACUGACGCUGAGGCACGAAAGUGUGGGGAUCAAACAGG